UACCAGCUCCCAAGUUUUCAGUCUCUUGCUUCUACAGCCGAACAGAGCAGACGGACUAAAACUUUUGUUAUCGGGCAGAGCGAAACCGGAAGGUUUACUGAGCUGUGGCUUCACAUAAACGCUGAGCAUCCACUCGACGGCGGUCAGGUUUUUAUAUGGGACGAAUCCAAAGACCAGGUCAGCGAUUCCAGAACCCAGAGUGUUCCAGUGUUCACUGGAUGGCGAGCCAACCCAAGAUCCUAGGAGACGAAAUACAUAUACACGCACACUCAUUUUCACAUUGAUGGACUACAAUCCUCUACUGUAACAAGUAGAGGAUUGUAGAUUGUAGGAUUGUAGGAUUGUAGAUUUUUGCUACUUUGGGGAAAAAUUUUUAUACUUGACAUUCUGUUAAAACCUGUUGUGAUACUGUGUUGUUUACAAAUUUAUUUUACAAGGCUUAACAUCACUAAA